rnacentral:tRNA from 1 species
GGGUGCAUAGCUCAGCUGGGAGAGCACCUGCCUUACAAGCAGGGGGUCAUAGGUUCGAGCCCUAUUGCGCCCACCA